GAGGAGACCCUUGGGAACGGGGAAGUGGAGAAGCCAGGCCCCAGGGUCCUUUGGCAUGAUCAUGAAAUAUCUUUUUUCUUUGAGAAAUGCAGCCCCUGGCUCCAAUCAGCUAAUUUUCAAACCUUUGAUCCAUUGAUCCAUUGGGCAGUCUGGGCUUGCUUGGUUCUUGGUUCAGUGACAGACAGCAGAGGGUGAGAGAAAUGGCACAGGGCUGAGAGCCAUGAAGUCACUGGGCAUAGGUGAACGGUGUGACCACACCAGGCCAGGGAAGAAACACGUGCCCAGCCUGCCAUCUGCCCUCCUGUCUUGGAGCCAGGUCUUUCCACCAGCUUCCUUCAUCUUUUAACACUUGGUGAAAAGGAAUGACACGUCAGUCAAAGCCCCUGGCCGGUGCUCAUGGAGCAUCUGGCAGGAGGAAGCCCCUUCCUGGCUGGCCUCCCAUUCAUCAGUCAGCGCCGCAGGCUGGGCCAGGAAACAACCAAAAUGUUCUCCAACAGGUGAAUGGUGAAAUAAACGGUGGAACAUGUAUACUACAGAAAACUGCUCGGCAAUGAAAAGGAAUGAAUUAUUGAUACAUGCAAUAGUUUGAACUGAUCUCAAAGUCAUUAUGUUAAAUGAGAAAAAAAAAAGCCAAGUUCAAAAGGUGACAUACUGUAUGAUUCCACUUAUAUAACACUCUUGAAAUGACAAAAUUAUAGUGUUGGAAAACAGGUUAGUGGUUGCCAGAGGUUAGGGAUGGUUGGAGAGACGGGGAUAGGCGUGACUAUAAAGAGGCAGCACAAGAAAGAUUUUUAUGGUGAUGAAAUAAUUCUGCAUAUUGACUGUGAGGUGCUUACAAAUAUACACAUAUGAUAAGAUGACAUAGAACUAUACACACACAUUGUACCAGUGUCAAAUUCAUAGUUUUAAUAUUAUACUAUAACCAUCUAAAAUGUAACCACGGGGGGAAACUGAGUGAAGAGCACAUGGAUCCUCUUUGUACUACCUUUGUAACUUCCUGUGAACUUAUAAUUAUUUCAAAAUAAAAAGUUUAAUUAAAAAUCAGUUGCAUUUCUAUAUACAAGUAAUGAACAAUUGGGAAAUAAAGGUUUAAAAACUUCAUUUACAAAUAGUACUUAAAAAUACUUAGAAAUGAAUUUAAAGAAAGAUGUUCCAGACCUAUAACCUUAAAACUACAAAAUAUUAUUAAGGGAAAUUAAAGAAAACCUAAAUAAAUGGAGAGGCAUACCAUGUUCAUGGAUUUGAAGAUGCAAUAUUGUUAAAAGUUUUUUCUAAAAACUGACCUAUAGACUCAAUACAAUCCUCAUCAAAAUCAUAACAGACUAUUUUGGAGAAACUGAUAAAUUGAUUCUAAAAUAAUAUGAAAAAGCAAAGAGUUAAAAAUUGCCAAAAUAACUUAAAAAAUAAAAGCAAGUUUGAAGUGCUUGCAUUACCUGAUUUCAGGAUUACUAUAAAACCACAAUAAUCAAAAUUGUAUGGCAUUGGCAUGGUUAUAGAUCAGUAGAACAGAGUAGAGAGUGCAGGAAUAGACUUGCAUUUAUAUGCUCAAUUAAUUUUUUUUACAAAAGUGCCAAGACAAUUGAAUGAGGAAUGUAUAGUCUUUUUACAAAGUGGUACUGGAUAUCUUUAUGGGGACGAAUUAAGUUUUAAACCUUAUUUCACAUCAUAUGCAAAAUGAUCAAAAUAGAUAAUAGACCUAAACAUAAGAGCUAAAACAAUAAGAAUUUCUGGAAGAAAACAGCAGAAAAUCUUUGUGAUAUUGUGUUGGUAAAGAUUACCUAAACAUGACACACAAAGAUUAUCUAAACUUAACACAAACAGCAGUAAUCAUAAAAGAAAAAUAUAAUAAAAUAGAUUUCAUAAAAAUUAAAAACUUCUAUUCACUUAAGGACACAUUU
rnacentral:lncRNA from 1 species